AUUGAACGCUGGCGGCAGGCCUAACACAUGCAAGUCGAACGAGUGGCGGACGGGUGAGUAAUGUCUGGGAAACUGCCUGAUGGAGGGGGAUAACUACUGGAAACGGUAGCUAAUACCGCAUACCAUCGGAUGUGCCCAGAUGGGAUUAGCUUGUUGGGGGGGAAACGGCGCAACAAGGCGACGAUCCCUAGCUGGUCUGAGGGGAUGACCAGCCACACUGGAACUGUGACACGGUGGAGACUCCUACGGGAGGCAGCAGUGGGGAAUAUUGCACAAUGGGCGCAAGCCUGAGGCAGCCAUGCCGCGUGUAUGAAGAAGGCCUUCGGGUUGUAAAGUACUUUCAGCGGGGAGGCGUUACCCGCAGAAGAAGCACCGGCUAACUCCGUGCCAGCAGCCGCGGUAAUAC
rnacentral:rRNA from 1 species